rnacentral:rRNA from 1 species
CUCCGGUUGAUCCCGCCGGACCCGACUGCUAUCAGAGUGAGAUUAAGCCAUGCGAGUUAACGUAGCAAUACGUGGCGCACGGCUCAGUAACACGUAGUCAACAUGCCCAGAGGACGUGGAUAACCUCGGGAAACUGAGUCUAAACCGCGAUAAGUGAGGAUUUCUGGAAUGGUUCCUGACCAAAAUCUAUAUGGCCUCUGGAUUGGACUGCGGCCGAUCAGGCUGUUGGUGAGGUAAUGGCCCACCAAACCUGUAACCGGUACGGGCUCUGAGAGGAGGAGCCCGGAGAUGGGCACUGAGACAAGGGCCCAGGCCCUAUGGGGCGCAGCAGGCGCGAAACCUCUGCAAUAGGCGAAAGCCUGACAGGGUUACUCUGAGUGACUUUCGCUAAGAAAGUCUUUUGGCACCUCUAAAAAGGGUGCAGAAUAAGGGGUGGGCAAGUCUGGUGUCAGCCGCCGCGGUAAUACCAGCACCCCGAGUGGUCGGGACGAUUAUUGGGCCUAAAGCAUCCGUAGCCGGUUCUGCAAGUCCCCCGUUAAAUCCAGCUGCUCAACAGAUGGGCCGCGGAGGAUACUACAGAGCUAGGAGGCAGGAGAGGCAAGCGGUACUCAGUGGGUAGGGGUAAAAUCCGUUGAUCCAUUGAAGACCACCAGUGGCGAAGGCGGCUUGCCAGAACGCGCCCGACGGUGAGGGAUGAAAGCUGGGGGAGCAAACCGGAUUAGAUACCCGGGUAGUCCCAGCUGUAAACGAUGCAGACUCGGUGAUGGGCUAGCCUUGUGCCAGCCCAGUGCCGCAGGGAAGCCGUUAAGUCUGCCGCCUGGGGAGUACGGUCGCAAGACUGAAACUUAAAGGAAUUGGCGGGGAGCA